UUCAUUUUUUCAAUUUUUUUCAUAUUUUUUCAUUUUUUAGAGGGGCGGAGGAAUGUAACCCGCGAAUGGUUCCGGCACCGAAGACGGGAAGGGCGGCUUUGGCCUGGGUGGUUUUCUCGUUGACCAGGAGCGCUUCUUGGUGCGGGAAGUCCUGUAAUGAUGGUGCACGUGGUGGUGGGAGUGAUGGUGCACGUGGUGGUGGUGGUGAAUUGUACGUUCCUCCGAAUCAUGAGAAGAAGAGGAGUCUCCGGGAGGUGCCGGGAUGCUAAUCGUGGGGUUUGGCACGAGAGGCUCCGGAGAACUUGUCAAGGGAGGCUCCGGUGUUGUCACUGGAGAGUCCGGAUAAGUUGGCACUAGUGACUCGGAAGACGAUGAUGAGCUGGACCACGGUGAAUUAUACCGGGGCGAAGAUAGCCGGAUCCAAUUUAUGGGGUCAUGGCAUGGCUCAUCUUGGGGUGCUUCAGGUGGAGUGAGCCACAGCUCCUCCCCGGGAAGUUGCCCUGGCUCUGCCCAGUUCAAAAUUGGCUCUGGCGCCUCAGGUGGAGUGAGCCACAUCUCCUCCUGGGGAAUUUGCCCUGGCUCUGCCAUGUUGAAAAUUGGCUCUGGCGCCUCAGGUGGAGUGAGCCACAGCUCCUCCCCGGGAAGUUGCCCUGGCUCUGCCAAGUACAGAAUUGGCUCUGGCGCCUCAGGUGGAGUGAGCCAUAUCUCCUCCUGGGGAAUUUGCCCUGGCUCUGCCAUGUUGAAAAUUGGCU